rnacentral:rRNA from 1 species
UGGGGAAUUUUGGACAAUGGGCGCAAGCCUGAUCCAGCAAUGCCGCGUGCAGGAUGAAGGCCUUCGGGUUGUAAACUGCUUUUGUACGGAACGAAAAGCCUCUCUCUAAUACAGGGGGGUGAUGACGGUACCGUAAGAAUAAGCACCGGCUAACUACGUGCCAGCAGCCGCGGUAAUACGUAGGGUGCAAGCGUUAAUCGGAAUUACUGGGCGUAAAGCGUGCGCAGGCGGUUUUGUAAGACAGUGGUGAAAUCCCCGGGCUCAACCUGGGAACUGCCAUUGUGACUGCAAGGCUGGAGUGCGGCAGAGGGGGGAUGGAAUUCCGCGUGUAGCAGUGAAAUGCGUAGAUAUGCGGAGGAACACCGAUGGCGAAGGCAAUCCCCUGGGCCUGCACUGACGCUCAUGCACGAAAGCGUGGGGAGCAAACAGGAUUAGAUACCCUGGUAGUCCACGCCCUAAACGAUGUCAACUGGUUGUUGGGGAUUUAUUUCUUCAGUAACGAAGCUAACGCGUGAAGUUGA